GCACUGACAUUUCAGAAGAGCAUGUUCACUCUAUGCCUUUGCAAGACUCUCUGUAUGCUUAAAAGGGCAGUAGAGUGGAGACUUUUUGUUAUUACCUAGUCAAAAGAAACGUGUAUUUAUUGUUCUAUACAGUAGGACCUGGAGCUCUAGGUCUGCAGCUGCCUGGGCUCCCUUUUGCCCUCUGUUCUCUGGCCCUGUGAAUGUUGUUCUCAGGAAGAGGAGAAGUUUGCUCCCCCUCCGGGUGCCUCUCUGCCUGCAGGUUUGAACAGUCCCCUGGCGUGUGAAAGUUGGGAAAUCUCUGCAGACUGUGGAAGGUCCCAGACCCAAGCCUCUCACAUCCAAGGAACAGCCAGGAGUGAGACAGAGGAUUUAUGAUGGAAAAUUUUGAAAAUUCGUCAUGGAAGGCUGUUUACAGAGAAGCAUUGGUGAAGAAAUUGCCAUGUCACCAACUUCAGUCCUUCUAGAUUCCCUUCAUAGUCAAAGAAGAGGAACUGACCUACCUAAGCAUGGUCAUCAGAUGACUCAUGACCUUGAUGUACCCAUUACUCUCCACAGACUAUACAGAACCUCUAAACAACCAGUUGAGAAAAAUGGAAAACCAUAAUCAACAGUCAUAGAGAUGGAAAACAGUAACAUCAGCAAGAGAACAAGCUCAGCAGAAGGGGAAUUUUCUACCUUCUAAAUAUGUAACUAACAUAUUAAUCACCUGAGUAUGUAGCCUUUGGCCAGUAUCCAAAGCUGAAAGAUGUAUUGCUUUAGCCAAUAGAGGACUUUCCAUCCCUCUAGCCAUAAGUGUUACAAAAAGAUGCUGCAGACAGUUCCAAGAGUAUUAACAGCAACACAGCUAUAACAGAUUUAACAUAUACACAUGAGCAUCCUUAGCAUACACCACGUCUUAAUAGUAAAUAUUACGAUUUACUUCCAAAAAGUGGUUAAAAUAUGUAAUUACAUGCAGAGCAUUCUUACAAAAUAGAAAUGAUUAAUGGUUGGAAACACAGAGAUCUAUUUUGCACACAGACAACAAAAGAUAAGGAAAAUUUCCAGUAACACUGAAGCUUUCAGUGGAGUUCGAAUUUGCUUUGACUGCAGUUUAAACACUAGUGCUGGAAGGCUGAGUCUGAUCUCCUUUAAAGGAGCUCAAUUAGAAUGAAUGGAGUUGCUUUGGAUUUGCUCCAGAUUAAGGUAAAGCAGGAUGUGGUCCAUGAAGUUCCUUAUGGUAAUUUAUAUGAGUUAAAAUGAAGUUCCAGGAAGACCUCUUUAUUUUCUUCUAUGUCAUAAUAAAAUAUAAUGAGACUGAAAAAAAUACAUGUAGGUUUUCAUCAGGACUACAAAUUUCAAACAAAACCUAUUCACUUUUAUCUUUUAAAACCCCAUGUUCGAUUCAAAUCAAUUGUAAUUCAAUUGUAAUUGUGUUUAGAUUUCAUUAAACAACAAAGCAAAAUCAA